UACGUAGGGGGGCUAGCGUUGUCCGGAAUCAUUGGGCGUAAAGAGCGUGUAGGCGGCCCGGUAAGUCCGCUGUGAAAGUCGGGGGCUCAACCCUCGAAUGCCGGUGGAUACUGUCGGGCUAGAGUGCGGAAGAGGCGAGUGGAAUUCCUGGUGUAGCGGUGAAAUGCGCAGAUAUCAGGAGGAACACCGAUUGCGAAGGCAGCUCGCUGGGACGUAACUGACGCUGAGGAGCGAAAGCGUGGGGGAGCGAACAGG
rnacentral:rRNA from 1 species